AUCCCUGCGUUGCUAAGAGCUGGCCUUCAUCCUCGGGCCACUUGGGCCCGCACAGGGGGACUGGCCCUGGGCCACGUCCCGGUACUUGUAGGGCCGCGUCACACGGUCAAAAUCAGCCUUCUUGUCACCAACACUUUCUGUCCACUGAUCUCUGUAUUGUUUGGUAACAAAAACACAGAAACCAAGAACUGAGGGGAGAAUUCUAAAGGAUCGUGUUUAUAGAGAAACUUCCUCCACUCAUGUCAGCUGUGUGCUGGGGGCUGGGGCUCCCCUUGGGCGUGAGGUCUGUGAAAUGAGACAGGAGGUUCUAGUGGCAGAGCUCCCAUUAUGCAGCUUUGGGAAAAAUCUUUCGGUCACUCUAACUCACAGCCCCGGAUGUCACAGGACCGUAGGAUUGCGGUUUGCUACCUGCACUUCAGGAGGCUACAGAUGGUCAGUUGGAAUGAGGUUCAUUGCGUAUAAAAACUUUUCAAAGAUACAAUAUUAUUUUUCCCUUUGGUUCAAUACGGUACUUCUGAGCACUUUAAAAUCAUGGUAAAGAAGACAGCUCAGUGAAUCCCUAGGAGUGAUGCCUUAGUCCCUACCCGUGGGGAGAAAGAAGUCAUGUUUUUUUAAAGUGCAAUGAAGGACAUUCUUGUUUACAAUCAGCUCGACAGAGAAUCCAGUCCCUUCAUUGUAGACUGAGAUCAUAGCUGCUGGAUGUGAGGCCUAGAAUGAUAUUAAAACAUGCUUCAUUUUCAAGGACCACGAAAUGAAAAUAUUGAAUGUGGAAGAAAUUGCUUCAUGAGCUGUGAACGGAGGCUGUGCCCAGCGUGGUCGCAGCCAUCAGGUAGGGCCUCAGCCUGUAACUGGAGUUCCCCAGAUUCCUCCGAUCUCUGCAGAGAGGAGGACUGGUGUCCGGCCAAGAUAAAUACUGGAUGGAGUGGGCUCAGCUCUCUCAUUAACUGAGCUGUUUUCCUUCAAUGGGACUUGAGAACAGAGCUUUGCGCUAGAAUUUCCUGUUUCACUUUCCUUUCAUCUCGGCGUCUCCUCAGCCCGAAGUCUUCCAUUUAUAUCAAGAUGUUCCUCCCGCAAAGCCUGGGCUCUGCACCCUCCCGAGGCCGAGGAGCUGGAGGGUCAGCCGACACAGCCCUCGUCCUCCUGUCCUUCAGAAGACCCAUCGCGACCUCGUGCACGUCAGACAAAGAUGGCUCUGAAGUUAUGUUCCCGGUGCAGGUGGCAGGCACAUUGCCCAGCAGCUCCUGAGGACACGUGUGCGGACGUCAGAGUGAGACCCUGCUCACAUGCAAGUCAGUACUCACUGCCAGCAAGGCCCUCAGGGCUGCUGUUCCCCCGCCACCCCCCCGCCCUCCCCACCCUGGCAGCGGGGGGCGGGGAACCUUAACACAGACGCCCACUUUGUUUUCUAGGAAGAGAGAGCUAGGCGUCACCCCAUUUCUUAGUUACGUGAUGGACCCACAGGGACGGGGGAGCAGGAAGGAUUCUGUUUUGAAUAUGGAAACUUUCUCCCUCCCUCCCUCUCUUUUUCCUUCCUUAUUUUCUUCCUCUCUCUCUUUCUUCCUUCCUUUCUUUCUUCCUUUCUCUCCCUCUCUCUCACUUUAAGAUGAUUCCACAUCUGCAUAAUACGAGGCAAAAAGGACACAGGCUGAGUGACUUAGAGAUUCUUACGGUGAAGAAAACCAGAGUGAGUAACGCAGCGCAAGAGGGCACCAGGGAACAGCUGCUUUGCUUUUUAAGUCACUCGAGACAGAUAGGAUAAAUUCUGUAGAUAGUACGUGUAAACAUUAAGAGAAAAAGAUUGUGUAUCUCAUUUCUGUAAGGAGAGGAAGUCAGCAGAUGUCCAGGCUGAAGGCCGGGCAGGGACCAAGGAAGCACAGUGGGGGCAGGGCUUGUCUUUGCAGACCUGGCCUGGGCACCGUCCCUGUGAAGGGGUUUCUGAAAGCUGUGGCCCCUCCCAGGCCCCCAAGCCUCUUGCUGCAGGGGGUCGUGCCCUGCGGACUUGCGUGUCUGCACACCAGCAGGUUCCUCGGACGCAGGGGCGGUCGGACAGCAGAGGUGGGCAUGGGGAACCGUCACAGGCCCGGAGGGACUCGGGGAGUCACAGUGAUGAAAUGUGGCUCCUUUUUAAUUCCAGGCAUUAAUCCUUCCCCGUGCUUCCCCGCACUUAGGACCUAAACAAGAGGGUGUCCUGAACCCCUUAGGUUCACAGCUUCCUGUCCCUCAUCCUUACUUCGUUCCCCAGAUUACCCCACUGGACCCAUGUUCUGUGACACUUCUUCUCCCCGAGAGCCUCCCAGCCUCUGUGCCCCAGUCAGCUCAGAUCCUCACAGGCCGGGGGCGAUGUGGGGGGAAAGGGGGCCCCAAAACAGGGGCCAAAACGAGCUGCAAGCCCGCCCGGCCCCACAGCACGGCCUGGACUCUGCACGACAGGGCCUUUGUGCUCGGGCGUCCUCACGUCCAGGAGCCCGAGGGCUUGAGGAGCACACGGCUGCUGGGAGGGACAUGCCUUCCGUGGAGACCACACGGGUGGCAGGAGACAGAAGCGCCUCAGUGUGAGAGGGGCUCAAAACACACAAGAAAGUAUUUACCACAGCAAGUCAUCAGACUUGAAGCAAUAGAACAAUGUUCUCACGUAAGCUAUAGAAUAAAUAUUUUAAAAUUUUAAAAAUAUUUUAAAAAUUUCAAAGAAAGACUAGAAUCCACAGGGAGGUAACAAGAUCCUUUAAAAGAAUAGGUAGCUUGAAAGAACAGAACUCUUAGGGAAAAGAAAGCAGUUAUUAAAAUGUAAAAUUCACGGUUAAGCCAUGCUAGAUGUAGGUGAAGAAAGAAUCAGUGAUCUAGUAUGCGUGUGUGUCUGAGGAUGCCCCCCAGGACAGGAAGACACAACAAGGUAGAGAGAGGCACAUAAAGCAGUGCUGUCUGCCAUGAGCGGGAGCCCAGGCCCCAACGUGCCUGGAUAGGUGUGCUUGUCGAGGACACAGUUCCUGUUCUGCCGUCCUCACUCACGGAGUCCUCAUUAGUUGGGGUUGCGAUGUGCCCGGCUGAAAAUGCCCUCCAACCCCCCUCAGUGAAGGUGUGACCAAGGGGCAAGAUCUCUCUGACAAGGCAGAAGCAGGACUUCCAGCCGAAGUUCCCAGGAUGCUCCUCCCAGCUCCUCCCGUGUGGCCACGGGCACAGCCGGAGCUGGCAUCUCCAAACACACAGAGGAUGAAGCAGAAAGCCAACAGGUCAGUCCUGCCCUCCUCCAGAUACCCAGUCACGCGAGAAGGAACAUCUCCCUCUCAUUCAUCCGGGCCGCUGGCGGUUUGUGUUUCAUCUCAGGCAUUCGGAUGUCAUCUCUCCACUGAUAAAACAAGAUCAGAGGCAGCUGGAGGGAAGGCAUGCAGAGUGGAGGCAAUACAGUAUUUUACAGAGAAAGUCCCUGAGAGCUCUCAACUCCAAAGGAAAACACUCAGGAGGAAGAAUCUCACCACAGGACUUCCCUGGUGGUGCAGUGGCUCAGAAUCCGCCUGCCAAUGCAGGGGACACGGGUUCAAGCCCUGGGCCGGGAAGAUCCCACAUGCUGCAGAGCAACUAAGCCUGAGAGCCACAACUACUGAGCCCAUGUGCCACAACUACUGAAGCUGAUGCACCUAGAGCCUGUGCUCUGCAACAAGAGAAGCCACUGCAAUGAGAAGCCCACGCACCGCAAAAAAGAGUGGCCCCCGCUCACUGCAACUAGAGAAAGCGCCGUGUGCAACAACAAAGACCCAACACAGCAAAAAAAAAAAAAAAAAGAAUAUCACCACUUCCAUCUGGAAAGGUUAACAAGAACCAUGCUUAGCCAUGUUCAAAAGACAAAGGAGAGGAAGAAACUGUCCAAAGUCGCCACAGAGCCGAGUCGCUGCGAUGGGGAGCACAUUCCUUAAAAGAAAGACGCCAUGGUCAGUAGAGUCACAUCUUCAAGGUAUUGCGAGGAAAUGACUGGCCUGAGUUCUAUAAGUAGCUAAACUAUUAUUCGAGAGCGAGAGCCAAAUAGAGGCUUUUUCAGGUGAAGUCACAGGCCCCGGCUGAAAUAACCGCCAAAGGACUCAUGUUAAAAAGGUGAGAAAUGAAGCCAGAGAAAUUCAGGAAGCAUCCUUGACCGAGACAUCGAUAGAUGUGAGUAAAUCUAAGUACUCGUUCACUCCAGAACAUGGAGGAGGACCUGCGGAACCUGACAAAGCUGGAGGCUGAAGCUGACAGGGGACACACAGGCAGCCACCCUCUGCGCCUUCCUUCCAGUUUGUGCUGGACUCGGUCACUCCACACAAGGUCCACCUCCGGUUAUUUCUCUAAGAAGCGGAUGGUAAAGUCAAAAAGCCCACAGCAGCGGGGACGUCAGGCCCUAACGAGGCUUUCUCCGUGACUUCUGGGCCAGAAAUCUUUGACACCUAACAUGAUUUCAGUUUACAGUUUCAUUCCAGGGAGAAAUAGCGGUAACUGACACUGUAUAGAAGUUGGAUCAAUACACACCUGAAGCAAUAAAGCCUGUGGCAUCUCUGACCUUUGGGGACUCCCCGCUUCGAACUGCUCCUCCUCCAUCUUAUCAAACUCCCCCAGGGACACUCACCCAAUUGCAUGAGAACGACAUAGAAUCGGAGGCCUGCCCACCAAGCCCCCGCCCCCGGUGCCCAGGCCUCCCGGCAUCGUCUGCAGCAGCGUGG